AGGUCUUGCCUAAGAAGCAGCUGAUGUGUCUGGGGGUACGCUUUGCAAAGUGACAUCACUUCACCGGGUCGUGACCUGUGCUUCACUUGGGUUCAAGAGGUCAGGUGGAAGAGUGGUCGUUAAGAUGCCUUCUCCAGACCUCCCCAUUCUUCCCGAUGGCACUACGAAAUACAGUCUCAUUGCUGUGGACAUGACAGAGAAGUCCCAAACAAAGCCGAAGACGCGCGCUCCUCGUCAAUAUGAAAAGGACACGCUGUGACAUGACAGACGGAAGGAAGGAAAGACGGAAGAGGGAGGGACCAAUGAACUCGAAGAGGAACAAGAUGGACGAGAGAGAAACAUGUCACACAUCUGUCACAUAAUCUCUGUCACACCCACUGACACAGGAAGAGCCAUCUCAGGAGACCGUGCCCCUACCGCCUCUCGGGACACCUAGCUGGACUCUCAUUUUGUGGGCUAAAAUAACUACACCAGGCAGAACUAUUGCUGGGCCCUCUUCAGGUGGAUUUGAGCGGCUGGCUGGGAGCUCCUCUGACCCUCAAUUACACGGGACCAUGGGGGCUCCAGUGUGCCUCCCGCUGCCUUUUCUCUCCUGGGAACGAGCUGCACGUGUGGCCAGAGAGUCGGGUUUCCAGCAGCAGCCUUCCUCCUCUCCUGGGCGUGCUCUGUCAG